GUGUUUAAGCCUUUUUGACCCACCGCUCGGAUCAGGCGGUCAAAGGGGAUUGCGAAGGUGCGACCUGGGAUAAUCCCGUCGGCCUCCUCCCCUGAUCCCCAUGCUGCCCUGCAUCAAGCCAGCACCCACGGCCGGCGACUCAGCGGCGGCCGGCGGCUUGGUCCCUCCGCGGAGGAGGAGGGAAGGUGGGGGCACGCUACCAUGUGCCGACCGCCCAACCCGCCACCGCGAGCACCCGCACCCCGCAGCAACGGCUCGCUGCCCCAGUGCCCCAUGCUCGAGGAGGAGUAGAAGCCCUGGACGUGUCAGGUUGCGGAGGCGAUGGCUGACGGAGCCGCGUCUGGUCGGCCCGGGUCGUGGGCGAGGCCGUCCAAGACAGUACUGCUGGAGCCCCUGAUCCUCUCGGAGGCGGGUCUGUGCGACAUGGACGCCGAGGGCAGGUACUCCACCACCACAGAGGCCAUCGCCGCCGUGCAGGCCACCCGCGCCGCACGGUCAUCCAGGCGUUCGCUGGUGUCGGCAUCGACUUGAUCCAAUUCGCCGCCAUGCACGCACCGCUGCACUCAUGCCACUUUGUUCUUUCAGGUGAUUGGAUAUUGUUCGCUGAGGUUUUCUCUCUAAUUAAUUCCCGGGACAACACGAUUUUUCUACAACAACUAUAUUAGUGUAGCCUGUCCUAUACGGGGUGUCACAACUCACAACGAAGUGCUCAGCAAACAGGAAACUAGAAGAGGAUUGUUUGUUCUGCAGUAAAUUAUCAUGCAUAUAAUGUCAAGUUACUCGCUCUAUGGCUGAAGCUAGAACAUCUAUGUGCAAUGCAAAUUUCAUCCCAGCUAUGACCCAUACAAUUCUUUAGAAAGGUUUUUGGACAUGGUUAUCUGAAAUUGCUCUGUGAGCUGCUCUAAACAUCUGAGUAUUCUUGCAUGUUAGUGUAUUGCUCCACUUUGGCUCUUAGCUUCUUACUUUCCACUUUGUGAUCAAAUGUAGUUGCCUUCUCUUAUGCAGAUGAACGGGACCAAAACUUAGGAAAUAAGAGUUUGGUGAAAUUUGGAUUUUUAGAUGAAAAGCACCAUGUGCCCAUAUUUAACAUUGAGAUCGAGUUGCAAAAGGAGAAAGAGAGUAAAAUAGCACAACUCAUGCUGACCUAUAAUAACUAUUUUUGACACGCGAAAGAAUAACUGGAAGGAAAACAAUGGUAGCAGCACCAAGUUCUAUAUGGCGCAGAAUGUUCAAUAUAAGGCCUGGACGGUUGAACUUGUCCUUUUAGCUGAUGAUAAUGUAUUACAAUGCUUCAGUAGAUUUUCAUCUCAGACGGACAUACAGAAACCCACUUAUAAGUUAGUACAAAAUAUAUCAAGGCUGAUGAAUGUUAUUGCAUGACUUCCUUCUAAUCAUGUUGUUUAAAAUAAGAGGAUGGAGGUCUAAUCUAUAGAUUAGUAUUAUAGUUUUGUUCAAUGAUUAAUUCUUGCACAUCCUCCAGUUAUGAUAAUAUUGCACUGUCUCAGCAGGAAAGAUGAAUAGCUUCACAAGAUUCCCAUCUUGAGAAGCUAUAGAGGCAAGUGCUGGCGAUCUCCAUGCGUAGAAAGGAAAACUAACUCACUACCAAAGUUAUGCCCGUUGAUACUAAAUCUAGCAUAUUUAGCUACGUACUUAAAUUUGAUAUUUGUAGUUUUGUAUUCGCCGACAUUUGUCAUGUUACUUCACUUUUAUUUUAAUAAAAAAACUUUUUUGGAUAUUUGUUACCAAACUGUAGAUAGGUGUUUCUGAGACAGGAGCAUUAAAAAAUAAGCUUCAGUUUUACUUAAGUUUGGUUGUAGUGGAAGAUUAAAACGAAGGGAGUCUUCUAUGAAGUGAUUCAGGCCCUACGUUGUUAUCCAUAGACUAUUCCUAUUUUGGUUCUACCAUUUGUUAUAUUAGAAGAUAUUUCCUAAUAUUCACAUGUUGCUACAUUUUUCAUUUACUUUACGAAGUUGGCCUUUUCAUUUGCUCUUGGGCUGAUUGUCUUUUUGAAGGUAUCUUUUAGUUGAUGAAGCAGUCCAACUGUUGAACUUCAUCAGUAUCUAGCUGCUAUAACUCCCUAAGAUAUCUUUUUUUUAUCAUUUAAUCUUCUUGGUGCUGUUUAUGUUGUAGUUGUCUUCUUAAUUAUUUUCACCUUAAUAAUUGUUAUUUUCUGCAGCCCUUUGCUCAUAUUUGAAAUCCUUCUAUAGAUUAUGAAUUGAUGAAGAACCAUUCUUUUGCACGAGUCAUUGGUACUUCUCCCCAAGGUCAAGUGCUGGAAGGACGGCAAACAAAUUCAGGUUGGGCUGUUUUGCAUCUUCCGUACUCAUGCUUUUCACACUAUUUUCAGGUGCUCUACCAUUCAUAUUAUUAACAAACUUUGUUUAUUUGUGAGCCUAAUCAGGGUAAGUAAUUACUUUAGCUAAAUUUCAGGGUCUUGCAGCACAUAGGAGAGUGCAAAAGUUCACAUAAAAGAAUAGAUAGUUUAAUUCUUCACUCAUAUGUCUGUACUAUUUUGCAAUGGUAAAGAGACAACGAUGUGUUUGCUACAUCAGAGGAUUCAUUAUUAUCGAUGGUGCCUAUUGCAAUCAAUCAAUAUAUUUUCCUUAUAGUAUCAUUUCA